UAUAUACUCCCUCCGCCCAGAAAUACUUGUCAUCAAAAUGGAUAAAAAGGAUGUAUCUAGAUGUAUUUUGGUUUUAGAUACAUCCCUUUUUGUCCAUUUUGAUGACAAGUAUUUUCGGACGGAGGGAGUAUAAU
rnacentral:pre_miRNA from 1 species